rnacentral:rRNA from 1 species
AGAGUUUGAUCCUGGCUCAGAUUGAACGCUGGCGGCAGGCCUAACACAUGCAAGUCGAACGGUAACAGGAAGAAGCUUGCUUCUUUGCUGACGAGUGGCGGACGGGUGAGUAAUGUCUGGGAAACUGCCUGAUGGAGGGGGAUAACUACUGGAAACGGUAGCUAAUACCGCAUAACGUCGCAAGACCAAAAAGGGGGACCUUCGGGCCUCUUGCCAUCGGAUGUGCCCAGAUGGGAUUAGCUAGUAGGUGGGGUAACGGCUCACCUAGGCGACGAUCCCUAGCUGGUCUGAGAGGAUGACCAGCCACACUGGAACUGAGACACGGUCCAGACUCCUACGGGAGGCAGCAGUGGGGAAUAUUGCACAAUGGGCGCAAGCCUGAUGCAGCCAUGCCGCGUGUAUGAAGAAGGCCUUCGGGUUGUAAAGUACUUUCAGCGGGGAGGAAGGGAGUAAAGUUAAUACCUUUGCUCAUUGACGUUACCCGCAGAAGAAGCACCGGCUAACUCCGUGCCAGCAGCCGCGGUAAUACGGAGGGUGCAAGCGUUAAUCGGAAUUACUGGGCGUAAAGCGCACGCAGGCGGUUUGUUAAGUCAGAUGUGAAAUCCCCGGGCUCAACCUGGGAACUGCAUCUGAUACUGGCAAGCUUGAGUCUCGUAGAGGGGGGUAGAAUUCCAGGUGUAGCGGUGAAAUGCGUAGAGAUCUGGAGGAAUACCGGUGGCGAAGGCGGCCCCCUGGACGAAGACUGACGCUCAGGUGCGAAAGCGUGGGGAGCAAACAGGACUAGAUACCCUGGUAGUCCACGCCGUAAACGAUGUCGACUUGGAGGUUGUGCCCUUGAGGCGUGGCUUCCGGAGCUAACGCGUUAAGUCGACCG